rnacentral:tRNA from 1 species
GGCCUCGUAGUUCAACUGAAUAGAAUAUCAGAUUUCGGCUCUGAGGGUUGGGGGUUUGAAUCCCUCCGGGGUCA